AAGGCUAAAAUGACUUUAUUUAUACAAAGAGAUUAAAACAUUGCCAGCAACUUACAGCCAUAAAUACCAUCAGAUUUAGAAGGUUCUUCACAGGAUUGUUCUAAGGAUUAAAUAAGAGAACAGCUACAAAGCACUUAGCACCAUUUGCAGUACUUAGAAAUCUAUCAGAGUACAGCUAGUACCCUUCCUACUGAUUCUCUGUAUUUUAGUAAAAUCUGAUGAGAAAUCAAUUGCAAACAUAAUUUCUCAUCAGAUUUCAGAUAAAAACCCAAUUCCUUCCCUUGGUUCUCUAAAUCAUGCACAUCUGUCCUCCACCUGCUUCUGAAGCUCCAACCUCCUCCCUCACCAUAUUGCAGCCAUAGUAGCCUUUCUCAUCCAAAUUAUGCCAACUUUCUAUCUCCUCAUGAGAUAUUUGCACCUGCCGUUCCCAGUAACCUCAGGGCUCAGUGCAUGAGUUGAAGCUGCCUUUCUUUAUGUUUUUGAGACAUGGUCUCACUCUGUCACUCAAGCUGGAGUGCAGUGGCAUGACUGUGGCUCACUGCAGCCUUGACCUCCUGGACUCCAGUGUCCCUUCUACUUCAGCCUCUGGAAUGGCUGAGGCAGGAGAAUCACUUGAACCAGGGAGUUGCAGGUUGCAGUGAGCCAAGAUUGCGCCACUGCACUCCAGCCUGGUGACAGAGUGAGACUCCAUCUCAAAAAAAAAAAAAAAGUUUUAAAAGACAAAAAAAAAUGUACACAUUCCUUGAAAAGGGAAGAUAAUGUGGACAAGGUGCUUUGAACAGGCAAUAGGAACAUAACUGGAAGCAAGAUUCUUCUGAAGGUGCUGUAAUGGCUGAGUGGUUAAGACACAAACUUAUCACCUUCAAAAAUUAACUCGUCUUAUUAUCUUUCUUACAUUUUCCUUCGCCCUUCCCACACAUCCAACAGUUAAACUAGUAUCAGGCAGAGUGCAGACCACAGUAAGUAUUCAUCAAAUGAAUAUCAUGAAUAAAUGAAUAGCUGGGGAAAAACUACUCUCAUAAAGGGAAUACAAAUUUGUACAAUCCGUUUAUGUUUGUUAUUUAUAUUAAGUUCACAUGUGCCUGAUUUGUAGUAGAUCUCUCGUUAUCGUUAGCUCAGCACCGCUUCCUUCCUCUGAGAGACAGACUGACUCUUCCAUAAAUAGACAUAGCGGGGACUGUGAAAUUCUUAUGGGAUCCAAGUCCCAGUUGAUUUGCCCAGUUGCAAUCAAGUAUACAACCCCUAAUUCCUCAUGUCUAGCUCGUUAAUUAACCUCCCCUCAUUUUUUUUAAGUUUGCAUUUGAGAGGGAACUCCCAGACAGUGGUAAACAUAGAAAUACUUAACCCUUAGGAACUGUCAGCUGCCAUGUUCUCCACCUACAUCAUUAAAGAAGUUCAUCUGUAAAGAGAAUGAAGCUAACAGGAAAGAUGGUCUCCAGGGCUACUAACUUAAAACUUCAUCCACUUUCUGACCUUCUCAUGGUUUAUAUAUUCAACUUAUCCUUCAAUCAACAUAUCCCAUAUCCUUUCUUUUUUUAAUUAAAUUGUAAGAGAGAGAAGGUCUCACUAUGUUGCCCCCAUUGGUCUCAAAUUCCUGAGCUCAAGUGAUCCUCUCACAUCAACCUCCCAAAGCACUAGGAUUAUAAGUGUGAGCCACCGUACCCAGCCCAUACCCCAUAUCCUUUAUAUAAAUUCAUCUUUUUGCUUAAAUUAGUUCAAGUAGGGUUUUUGUCAGCAGUAACAGAGCACUGAUUAAUGCAACAUUCUGUAACCACUGCACAAGAGAAUCAUCUUCUGAUUUCUUAAAACCAAUGCUAGUACCCCAGUCCAAAAAAUGAAAUCAGAAUCUCCGCAGUGUGGGACCUGGGCAUUAGUCAUUUCAAAAGCUGCUUAAAAAGGUGAUCCUUCCAGAUAUUUCACUUCAAUGAAUCAAUCUUUCAAGAAUAUUCAUUAUAAGUAGGUGUGCAGAGAUAUAUUUUAACACAAGAUUAAAAAGACCUUAUAUAAGGCCACUAGAGCUUUUUUUUCAUUCCACUCUAAUAGCAAGAGUUCAUAUCAGAACACUUUAGGAAUUUAUGUCAGGUCCUAGUCACAGACCUGCAAGAUCAGAUCCUCCCCAAUGGCAUUUUUUUUUCUAAUUUGUUGUAGAGACACGGUCUCACUAUGUUGCCUAGGCUAGUCUCAAACUCCUGACCUAAAACCAUCCUCCUACCUCAGCCUCCCAAAGUGCUGGGAUUACAGGCAUAAGCCACUGUGCCUGGCCCCCCAGUGGCAUUUUAAUCCCUCAACGCCCCUCCCCCCAACACACACACGUUCAUAUAUAAGUAGUGUUGUGGCUCUUAUGUGAUUCUGUUUUUUACAUGCAAAGAUUUUCAAAGUGGCCAAAAACUGGUUUUGCACCUCAACCCAACACCUUCCUCAAGGUUCUCAGAGUCAAAGAAAGAGAAUUUUCUUUGGAGAGUUGUUCAAGUGCUAAGCAAUUUCCACCUUUCUCCCUCACAAGGUGAUGCUCCCUACUUCAAUUUAAGCUUGAGAGCCUGAACUAUGUCCUCUGGAGUCUCUGAGGCCCAAAGGUCUAUACCAAACACAUUACGUACCAGAAAAAAACAAAAGUUGAGACUAGCCAACCAACUGCCUAUCUGAUAAAGAAGUGUCUACCUAGGGAUAACUUACAGUCCCUGGAUCUGUGAAAGCACAGCAUGCACAUUUCAUAGAGAACUGACCUAUAGUCAUACAUAUAUACAUACAUACACAUAUAUAUAUAUAUUUUAGACAGAGUUUUGCUGUCACCCAGGCUGGAGUGCAGUGGCACGAUCUCGGCUCACUGCAACCUCCACCCCUUGGGUUCAAGGAAUUCUCGUGCCUCAGCCUCCCGAGUAGCUGGGAUUACAGGCGCCUGCCACUAUGCCCGGCUAAUUUUUGUAUUUUUAGUACAGACGGGGUUUUGCCAUGUUGGCCAGGCUGGUAUCAAACUCCUGACCUCAAGCAAUCCACCCACCUCAGCCUCCCAAAGUGCUAGGAUUACAGGCAUGAGCCACUGCGCCAGGCCCCUUAUAAUCAUUUUAAUGUGAACUUUGCUAGCUCUAGGACCAAUGAAAGUUUAAGUGAGCAAAUCCCUAUGCUAGAAACCAGGGGCUAAGGAAGAAAUAAAAAAGUAGACAUCUGGGGAAAGGCAUUGCCUCUCAAUGGUUCUUUUUUGUUUUUGAGAUGGAGUUUCGCUCUUGUUGCCUAGGCUGGAGUGCAAUGGUGCAAUCUCAGCUCACCACAACCUCUGCCUCCCAGAUUCAAGUGAUUCUCCCUGCCUCAGCCUCCCGAGUAGCUGGGAUUACAGGCAUGCGCCACCAAGCCCAGCUAAUUUUGUAUUUUAGUAGAGAUGGGAUUUCCCCAUGUUGGUCAGGCUGGUCUCGAACUCCUGACUUCAGGUGAUCCACCAGCCUCAGCCUCCCGAAGUGCUGGGAUUACAGGAGUGGGCCACUGCACCCAGCCUCAAUGUUUCUUAAUCUUGAGCAUGUAUCAUAAUCACAUAGGCUUCUUAAAAUACAGCUUGCUGGGACCUACACCCAGAAGUUUCUGGUUCAAAAGGUCUGGGAUGGAGCCAGAGAACCCUCAUUUAUUUUUUAUUUUUCUGAACCUACGGAUUAUACUAAAACUUUUAUUUCUAGUAAGUCCC
rnacentral:lncRNA from 10 species